CCUAUUUUGGUAUCAUCUACAGUGUGAUUUAUAAAUUAUAUAUGUAAAUGAAAUAGAAAAUUUCUAAAAUGAUGCACAAAAACUUAAAAGUGGCUACAUUCGGGUUAUCUGGUUUGGGGGAAGGAUUUGUUAAUCAUUUUAUACUCUUUUAUACUGCUUGAAUUUUUACAUACAUACUUAGCACUUUUAUUAUUAAAAUUUUAAAUUUAUUAAUUUUUUUUCAGUUUUAGUCUUAAAGUCAUUAAUGUUCACCAAUUUCAGGACUUAUCCUUCUUUGGCACAAGGAAAGACUUUUCAUUCUCCCUUGUGGUCUGACUGAAGCCAUGUGACUACUUCCGGCCACUGAACUAUGAGUGACUGUGACAUGUAUCACUUCUGAAACAAGGAGCCUGGAAAACAGAUAACUAAGACUCAGAGCCAGAUCUCACCAGGUCCACAGCGUAACUGGAAAGGAACACCUGCAAACAACUAACGAGAAGCCCAGAAAUGUGCAAGAUGGUGGUGGUUCCAACAGCAUGGAGACCUGAGUAAUCACAGCGAGCAGAACCCCUCACUGAUCCAUGAUGGACAAGGAGCAUGAGUGAGAAUAAACUUUUGUUAUUUA